GAUGAACGCUGGCGGCGUGCCUAAUACAUGCAAGUCGAGCGAACAGACGAGGAGCUUGCUCCUCUGACGUUAGCGGCGGACGGGUGAGUAACACGUGGAUAACCUACCUAUAAGACUGGGAUAAAUUCGGGAAACCGGAGCUAAUACCGGAUAAUAUAUUGAACCGCAUGGUUCAAUAGUGAAAGACGGUUUUGCUGUCACUUAUAGAUGGAUCCGCGCCGCAUUAGCUAGUUGGUAAGGUAACGGCUUACCAAGGCAACGAUGCGUAGCCGACCUGAGAGGGUGAUCGGCCACACUGGAACUGAGACACGGUCCAGAGUCCUACGGGAGGCAGCAGUAGGGAAUCUUCCGCGAUGGGCGAAAGCCUGACGGAGCAACGCCGCGUGAGUGAUGAAGGUCUUCGGAUCGUAAAACUCUGUUAUUAGGGAAGAACAAAUGUGUAAGUAACUAUGCACGUCUUGACGGUACCUAAUCAGAAAGCCACGGCUAACUACGUG
rnacentral:rRNA from 1 species